AUCUCUAAUUGACACCCUUCGAGUGGUUUCUUAUUUUGCCAGGACCACUGCACUGGCUAAAAAAUCCAAAAAUUACGAAAGGAGGCUGUCGAGAGGAGUAUGGCGGAUUCUGUCUGGGUCUAUCUUUUUGCUUUUUUCCUACCUUGUUUUUGCUUCGUUGUGUGGCGGCGAUGUCGCUAGGUUGACCAGUGCUGCCUCGUUGUAGUUGUUGCCUUGCAAAAAGGUUGCUGCUGGAGCAGCGCAAGAUCUUUGUUUUGCUCUCGCAUUAGAUUCCUGCGUUGUUGUCAACGCUUCCCGAGCUAGUGUUCACGCUGGUGUUCGUGACUAGUGGCAGCUAUGUGCUGGUGUGGAGUUCCAUUAUCUCUUCAUGCGACGGUAAGCGUUGGAGCUACGAGGCGGUGCUGCCAUUCUUAUUGUCCUUCUUUUGCUGGAAGUGAAUUCAUGGUGUUAGAAGCUAACGUGAGUUGUCAACGUUGAUUUGGUGAAUGCUACUUCAGCUCGCUUGUAGGUGUCCAGUAGCAUUGGGCGGAUCUUGGGCAGUACGAUGGUUGUCGACAAAUCCUGGUUCUUCUUCGUAGUGUGCGGCUGUAGCAGAGAAUCUUGUUCCAGUUUCGUUCUCUGUGGUGUUCUCCAUGUGAUUGGAGUUCCUGGUUUCAAUCUCUCUCGCAGACGUCUCGAUGUUUGUUAAUGGCUCUUGUUAAUGGUAGCUGGGUUGUGAAGAGCCGUUGUGAUUGAUCAACGCGUGGUCGCGUGGAGAUUUGACGUUGAGGCUAGACAAGCUGUUGGUGAGCCGAGCUACUGUGCUCAACAACAUCAAGAACAGAGUAGGCGUGGGCAAACGGAGCCCUUCAGUGGACGAACAAUUGGCUGCAACGUUCAUGGUGGAAGAGUUAGUAAGAAAGGCGGAGCUGUUCCUGAUUGCGGGUCCUUAUUUUCUUUGACUUUUGUUAUUGCCUCGUCACAAGCGUUGCUUUGGGGUCAACCCUCUUAAUCAGCUCGAAUGAUGUAACUUGGCUUUCAAGACAAGCUCACCAGUCCUGGUGGUUGGAGAUUAGUGUGUUAGAACCCUGCUAUUUGAGUGGUGACUGUUGUAUGGGAGUUGGAUUGUAUCCAGUGAGAGCUUGCAUCUGAAGGACUUUUAUCUCGAUAUACAUCGAAUCCUACGAAUCCUUCAAAUCCUUUUUUUAUAUAAAAAUCUUACGUCUAGGUCUUACAAUUUGCAACAAACCUUAAGUGUUGUUAACCACAACUCUUGGUGUGACAAAAGAGGGUCUAUGUAGUAUGGUUUGAAUGUGUGUUGUUGCUACAUUAAGGCUGGUUAUUUUAAUGACACAUCUUUUAAGUCACCUUCCAA